UACGUAGGGUGCAAGCGUUGUCCGGAAUUACUGGGCGUAAAGGGUUCGUAGGCGGUGCGGCAAGUUGGGAGUGAAAUCUCCGGGCUUAACCCGGAAAGGUCAGCCGAUACUGCGGGGCUAGAGUGCAGAAGGGGCAACUGGAAUUCUCGGUGUAGCGGUGAAAUGCGUAGAUAUCGAGAGGAACACCUGCGGCGAAGGCGGGUUGCUGGGACGGUGCUGACGCUGAGACGCGAAAGCGUGGGGAGCAAACAGG
rnacentral:rRNA from 1 species